AUAACCUGGGAGAUUCAGAAACUUAUGUUGAAACAAGCUUUGAAUAUUAAUUUCGUUGAAGGUUUAUAUGAAACCAAAAGUACUACAAUAGUAAUAGAAAGCUCAUCUUCUGUUUAUUAAUUAUAGAUAAAUUUGAGUUGUUGGUAUAGAAAGGUCUCAGUUAAUGAGUUCUCUCACCAAUAUUAGCUGUAUUGUAAUAUUUUCCUCCUGUGUGAUUAUACUAAUAUAUUUCUUUUUAUUGAAAGCUUGCAAAUACAGAAGAAUACAUAGAUGGAGCUUUGUCUGGACAUCUGGGUGAAGUUUUAAUAAGGUGUAAUAAUGUCCUUUAUAUCAGAGGUGUGGAAGAAGAGGAAGAAGAUGGGGAAAUGAGAGAAUAGCAUCUUUUGUGGGGGAUUUUUUUUUUAUAUAUAUUUCUAGACAAUAAAGAUUUGUUUGUUUUUCAACUUGACUUGUGAACUAUUUGUAUUCAGAUAUUUACAAGCAAAGCUGAAAUGAUAAACCAAUUGGGAAAGAUUACUCACCGAACUAAUGCUUUAAAAGCCACUGAAUUUCAUUUAAGUUGCUUUUCUUUUGUAAGCCCAAUAUUCUUUUUUUUCCCAUAAAGGAUAAUUAUUUAUAUGCUUUAGAUAUUUUUAUGAAGGUGAAUUUCAGACCUUUUCUUGUAAAAUUAUCUAUUAGCUGAGACCUUUUAAAUGCAACUUUUUCUUUUAAAGUUACUUUUGAGCCACUUUUAACGUAUAAAAUUAAACAUUUUCUUGG
rnacentral:sRNA from 1 species